rnacentral:tRNA from 1 species
GGGGGUGUGGCUCAGCUGGUAGAGUGCUUGCCUGGCAGGUAUGAAGCCUGGGUUUGGUCCCUAGCACCACCU